rnacentral:rRNA from 1 species
UACGAAGGGGGCUAGCGUUGCUCGGAAUCACUGGGCGUAAAGCGCACGUAGGCGGACUCUUAAGUCGGUGGUGAAAUCCCGGAGCUCAACUCCAGAACUGCCUUCGAUACUGGGAGUCUUGAGUCCGAGAGAGGUGAGUGGAACUGCGAGUGUAGAGGUGAAAUUCGUAGAUAUUCGCAAGAACACCAGUGGCGAAGGCGGCUCACUGGCUCGGUACUGACGCUGAGGUGCGAAAGCGUGGGGAGCAAACAGG